rnacentral:rRNA from 1 species
AUUGAACGCUGGCGGAAUGCUUUACACAUGCAAGUCGAACGGCAGCACGGGCUUCGGCCUGGUGGCGAGUGGCGAACGGGUGAGUAAUGCAUCGGAACGUGCCCAUUUGUGGGGGGAUAACUACGCGAAAGCGUGGCUAAUACCGCAUACGCCCUGAGGGGGAAAGCGGGGGAUUCUUCGGAACCUCGCGCAAUUGGAGCGGCCGAUGUCAGAUUAGCUUGUUGGUGAGGUAAGGGCUCACCAAGGCGACGAUCUGUAGCGGGUCUGAGAGGAUGAUCCGCCACACUGGGACUGAGACACGGCCCAGACUCCUACGGGAGGCAGCAGUGGGGAAUUUGGACAAUGGGGGCAACCCUGAUCCAGCCAUGCCGCGUGAGUGAAGAAGGCCUCGGUGUAAG